rnacentral:rRNA from 1 species
AAGGUUAAGCACUUAAGGUGCGGAGCCGUAGCGAAAGCGAGUUUUAACUGAGCGUUCAGUUACUUGACGUAGACCCGAAACCGGGCGACCUACCCAUGAGCAGGAUGAAGCGAAAGUAAAAUUUCGUGGAGGUCCGAACCCACGAGCGUUGAAAAGCUCGGGGAUGACUUGUGGGUAGCGGUGAAAUUCCAAUCGAGCCCGGAGAUAGCUGGUUCUCCCCGAAAUAGCUUUAGGGCUAGCCUCAAGGUGAGAGAUACGGAGGUAGAGCACUGAAUGUCCUAGGGGGUAUUGCACCUACCGAAGACUAUCAAACUCCGAAUGCCGUCAUCUUAUACUUGGGAGUCAGACUGUGGGUGAUAAGAUUCAUAGUCGAAAGGGCAACAGCCCAGAUCGUCAGCUAAGGUCCCUAAAUGUAAGUUAAGUGGUAAAGGAUGUGGGAUUGCACAGACAACCAGGAUGUUGGCUUAGAAGCAGCCACUCAUUCAAAGAGUGCGUAAUAGCUCACUGGUCGAGUGAUCCUGCGCCGAAGAUUUCCGGGGCUAAAACUUACUACCGAAGCUACGGCAUCAGUAAUGAUGGGUAGGGGAGCUUCCCAUACGGGUUGAAGCAUGACCGUAAGGACAUGUGGACAGUAUGGGAGUGAGAAUGUUGGCAUGAGUAGCGAGAUGUGGGUGAGAAUCCCACAGGCCGUAAACCCAAGGUUUCCAGGGGAAGGUUCGUCCGCCCUGGGUUAGUCGGGACCUAAGCUGAGGCCGAAAGGCGUAGGUGAUGGACAACAGGUUGAUAUUCCUGUACUACCGAUAACCGUUUGAGAGAUGGGAUGACACAGUAGGAUAAGCUAAGCACACUGUUGGUUAUGUGUGCCCAAGCAUUGAGGCAGUCAAAGUAGGUAAAUCCGCUUUGAUAAUGCUGGGAUGUGAUGGGGAGCGAAAUUUAGUAGCGAAGUAGCUGAUUUCACACUGUCAAGAAAAGUCUCUAUCGAGGUUAAAGGUACCCGUACCGCAAACCGACACAGGUGGGUGAGGAGAGUAUCCUAAGGCCAGCGAGAGAACUGUUGUUAAGGAACUCGGCAAAAUGACCCCGUAACUUAGGGAUAAGGGGUGCCACCAUCAGGUGGCCGCAGAGAAUAGGCCCAAGCGACUGUUUACCAAAAACAUAGGUUUCUGCUAAGUCGCAAGACGAUGUAUAGGAGCUGACGCCUGCCCGGUGCUGGAAGGUUAAGGGGAUCUGUUAGAGCAAUCGAAGCAGUGAACUUAAGCCCCAGUAAACGGCGGCCGUAACUAUAACGGUCCUAAGGUAGCGAAAUUCCUUGUCGGGUAAGUUCCGACCCGCACGAAAGGCGUAACGAUUUGGGCACUGUCUCAACAACAGACUCGGUGAAAUUGUAAUUCCGGUGAAGAUGCCGGAUACCUGCGACAGGACGGAAAGACCCCAUGGAGCUUUACUGUAGCUUGACAUUGGGUCUUGGUACUACAUGUACAGGAUAGGUGGGAGGCUUUGAAACCAGGACGCCAGUUUUGGCGGAGCCAUCCUUGGGAUACCACCCUUGUAGUACUGGGACUCUAACCAUAGGCCAUGAAUCUGGUCUUGGGACACUGUCAGGUGGGCAGUUUGACUGGGGCGGUCGCCUCCCAAAAGGUAACGGAGGCGCUCAAAGGUUCUCUCAGUACGGUCGGAAAUCGUACGUAGAGUGUAAAGGCAAAAGAGAGCUUGAUUGCAAGACAUACAGGUCGAGCAAGGAUGAAAAUCGGACUUAGUGAUCCGGUGGUUCUGCGUGGAAGGGCCAUCGCUCAACGGAUAAAAGCUACCCUGGGGAUAACAGGCUUAUCUCCCCCAAGAGUCCACAUCGACGGGGAGGUUUGGCACCUCGAUGUCGGCUCAUCACAUCCUGGGGCUGUAGUAGGUCCCAAGGGUUGGGCUGUUCGCCCAUUAAAGUGGUACGCGAGCUGGGUUCAGAACGUCGUGAGACAGUUCGGUCCCUAUCCGUCGCAGGCGUAGGAAAUUUGAGAAGACCUGUCCUUAGUACGAGAGGACCGGGAUGGACG